rnacentral:rRNA from 1 species
CAGUCGCCGCGGGAAUACGUAGGUGGCGAGUGUUGUCCGGAAUUAUUGGGCGUAAAGGGAGCGCAGGCAGACAUAUAAGUCCAUCUUAAAAGUGCGGGGCUCAACCCCGUGAGGGGAUGGAAACUGUAUGCCUUGAGUGCAGGAGAGGAAAGCGGAAUUCCCAGUGAAGCGGUGAAAUGCGUAGAUAUUGGGAGGAACACCAGAGGCGAAGGCGGCUUUCUGGACUGUAACUGACGCUGAGGCUCGAAAGCCAGGGGAGCGAACGGGAUUAGAUACCCCCGUAGUCCCUGUCUCUUAUACA